rnacentral:rRNA from 1 species
UACGAAGGGGGCUAGCGUUGCUCGGAAUCACUGGGCGUAAAGGGUGCGUAGGCGGGUCUUUAAGUCAGAGGUGAAAUCCUGGAGCUCAACUCCAGAACUGCCUUUGAUACUGAGGAUCUUGAGUUCGGGAGAGGUGAGUGGAACUGCGAGUGUAGAGGUGAAAUUCGUAGAUAUUCGGAAGAACACCAGUGGCGAAGGCGGCUCACUGGCCCGGUACUGACGCUGAUGUGCGAAAGCGUGGGGAGCAAACAGG